rnacentral:rRNA from 1 species
GUAGGGAAUAUUGGGCAAUGGAUGCAAGUCUGACCCAGCCAUCCCGCGUGCCGGAAGAAGGCCCUCAGGGUUGUAAACGGCUUUUGACGGUGAAGAAUCGACAGGAUGCGUCCUGUUUUGACGGUAGCCGUUGAAUAAGCACCGGCUAACUCCGUGCCAGCAGCCGCGGUAAUACGGAGGGUGCGAGCGUUGUCCGGAUUUAUUGGGUUUAAAGGGUGCGUAGGCUGGAAGGUCAGUCAGCGGUGAAAAGCUAUCGCUUAACGAGAGUCUUGCCGAAGAUACUUCCUUUCUUGGAUGAGGAGGAGGCCACUGGAACGGAUGGUGUAGCGGUGAAAUGCAUAGAUAUCAUCCAGAACACCGAUUGAGAAGGCAGGUGGCUGUACCUUAAUCGACGCUGAUGCACGAAAGCAUGGGGAGCAAACAGGAUUAGAAACCCUUGUAGUCC